UACGGGGGGGGGCAAGCGUUGUUCGGAAUUACUGGGCGUAAAGGGCGCGUAGGCGGCCUACUAAGUCGAACGUGAAAUCCCCGGGCUUAACCCGGGAACUGCGUCCGAUACUGGUUGGGCUUGAAUCCGGGAGAGGGAUGUGGAAUUCCAGGUGUAGCGGUGAAAUGCGUAGAUAUCUGGAGAACACCGGUGGCGAAGGCGGCGAUCCUGGACCGGUAGUUGACGCUGAGGCGCGAAAGCCAGGGGAGCAAAGCGGG
rnacentral:rRNA from 1 species